ACACACAUAAACGAAGAAAUAGAAACCCCACAGACACGACGUGGCGUUUUUGAUUUGGUGCGCCUUCUUCCUUGAGAGCGGAAGCUGCCCUUCACCUCCGCCCUGCAACUCAAGUUAACAGCUAGAUUUUGGUUACAGAAAGUGUUGGCUUUUCACAUUAAUCCUCCAGAUGACCGGGCCCUAACAAGACAGCAGCAGUUUUCAUGAAUGCUAUGAGAGUGAAUAAAAGUCAGUGCCGUUGGUUCUCAUCCUCUCCUUCGACACUCUCAUCGUCACUUCCAUGGAUCUCUCCUCUUCACUUUUCAAGAGUUAAACUUCACAAACCAGACCCCCCACCCGAAACCACAGGCACCCAGACAGAAACGAGGAGGAAAGGCAAAUAUAUUUCUCACGAAUCUGCCAUCAACUUAAUCAAACGUGGGAGAGAUCCACAGCAUGCCUUGGAAAUAUUUAACAUGGUAUCUGAACAAAAGGGUUUUAAUCACAACAAUGCCACCUAUGGAACCAUCCUCCAGAAGCUUGCUCAGUCCAAGAAGUUCAAGGCUAUCGAUGCAAUUCUUCAUCAAAUGACCUAUGAGACCUGCAAAUUUCAUGAGGGUAUAUUCCUUAAUCUCAUGAGCCAUUUUUCAAAAUCCUCUAUGCAUGAAAGAGUGCUUGAAAUGUUCUAUGCUAUCCAGCCAAUAGUUCGAGAAAAACCGUCUCUCAAAUCCAUCAGUACUUGUCUCAAUUUACUGAUUGAAGCAAAUCAGGUUGAUUUGGCCCGACAAUUUCUCACGCAUUUGAAAAAGAACUUUAGCUUCAAGCCAAAUACAUGCAUUGUCAACAUCUUGGUUAAGCACCAUUGCAAGAAUGGGGAUCUUGAUUCUGCUUUUGAGGUUCUGAAGGAAAUGAAAAGGUCCAAAAUUUCUUACCCUAAUUUGAUUACAUAUUCAACUCUCUUGGGUGGUCUCUGUGAAAGUGGAAGACUCGCAGAAGCAAUGGAGUUGUUUGAAGAAAUGAUCUCAAAGGACCAAAUCUUGCCUGAUGCCCUAACUUACAACAUUUUGAUUAAUGGGUUUUGCCAUGGUGGCAAAGUCGACAGGGCUAGGAAGAUAUUGGAGUUUAUGAAGAGCAAUGGAUGCAACCCAAAUGUAUUCAAUUAUACCACUCUGAUGAAUGGUUUAUGUAAAGAGAAGAGAUUGAAGGAGGCCAGGGAAGUUUUCCAUGAAAUGAUGAGCUUCGGUAUAAAGCCUGAUACGGUUGGAUACACUGGUUUGAUUAAUUGCUGCUGUAGGACUGGGAAAGUGAAUGAAGCUAUAGAGUUGCUCAAAGAGAUGAAAGAGAGAGAGUGCAAAGCUGAUACUGUGACUUUCAAUGUGAUACUUGGAGGGUUGUGCAGAGAAGGCAGAAUUGAGGAUGCUCUUGAGAUGCUGGAGAAACUUCCUUACGAGGGUGUCUAUCUCAACAAGGCAAGCUACAGGAUUGUGUUGAAUCUCUUGUGUCAAAAAGGUGAAUUGAAGAAGGCGACUGCGUUGUUGGGGUUAAUGAUGGGUAGGGGGUUCAUACCACAUUAUGCAACUUCAAAUGAGUUGCUGGUUCGCAUUUCUGAGGCUGGAAUGGCAGAAGAGGCGUCCAUGGCUUUGUUUGGAUUAAUGGAGAUGGGGUUUAAGCCACUGCCUGAUUCCUGGGCUGUUUUGGUUGAAUCAAUCUGCAGAGAAAGAAAGCUUCUGUCUGCAUUUGAACUUCUCGAUGAGUUGGUUGUUGGAGAGCAGGAUUAAGCCCUGAGACGGAUUUCAGAUGCAAGAGAAAAGUUACAUCCUAGGCUUGAAAACCCCAAGGUGAUGAAGAUGCUGGCAAUUCAACAUAGAGUAAUGGGAUUAAGAAAACCUUCUGAUCUGAUUUGCAGUUGCAGUCUAGGUCGUCUUUCUGGCAAGAGGAAAUGGAUCAUCUUUCGACUUUCAUGAUACUAUGAGGUAGGGAAAGCUCAACCCUUAACGUGAAAGUGGAAUUUGAAAGAUAAUGGCACUGGAUCUUUGUUCUGCAAUGCUGAUGAACUUCAUUAACAUUAUGCCGGAGGAAAGCUUAUAAAUCAAAGGGUUUGAAACCAGUUGAAUCAUUAGCCACCUCUACUUGCAAGGCAUGCUAGGGUUUCGAGAGCUUCCGGUCAUCUUCUGGUUUCAAGCACUAAUUGAACAAGGUCUGUGCAGCUAUGCCCAAUAGAACCUGUAGGUAGAACUUGCCUAUAAAAACCGGCUUCGGCUUGUAUACAAAAAGGAUACGAACCGUCCAAGAAAUUUAGUUUUUCGUUCUGCGACUGUUGGAUUCUAACAUACCAUCACGCUUCCUACUGCAUCCUUGUUGGUUCGUUAUGUCCACAUUAACACUAGCUCGAUGGUAAAUCUUUCCUUCGAAACAGCUUCGUGAAGAUUAGGAGAGAUUGUCUUUUGCAACCAAUGCAUAAUCUCAAUGAUGUCACUCAUCUAUUAAAUGUUUGUCAUGGGUUUAAAUAUUACCCAAACUAUCCAAUAAAAGUUUUUCAUGCGACGUAAGUAGUUGCAUGAGAGUAUCUCUUCAA